UGAAGGGCGGAACUCGAAUACGUAAUUGUCUGCUUAUUCACCUUAGGAUUUUAAUUUUUUAUUUGUAAUAUAUCCAUUUUCAAGAUUUGGUUCUCCAAUUUUGUUUUGCUUUUAAAAUGGUCCUAUUGAUUCUUUUUUUCUUUUUCAUUUUAGUUGUUGUUUGGAUUCCUUUUUAUAAAAUAUAUUUAUUUAUAUAUUUUAGUCAUGUUUUAUAUAUUUUUGUCUUUUAUAUUCAUCCCCGCAUAAAUUAUCCCUAAAUUUAGGAAAAUAUAAUUUAAAAAAUGGCUCGCAACAAUUAAAUUAAAAUAAAUCAUUCUUGUAAAACUCAUCUAUCCAAAACAAUUGCACCAAAAACAAAACUUUUAAUAACCUAGAGGGCUCCUAAAUUUGUAGAACAAUAUCAACAUACAAUUCGUAAAAAUCCUUAAAUAACAUGGACGUUUUAAAAUUUACAAAGAGUAGUUUCUCUUCACCAAAUGACAUGAAUUUCUUUAUAAAUAUACAUGUUUUGCACGCAGAAAAGAACACAAAAUUUAUGAGUUCCAUGACGAAAAUAUCUAUUAAAAUAUGUCUAAAUUAUUUCUCAUAUUUUUUUAUGCACAAGAGUAGAUGAGAAAACUUUAUUCUCGAAAAAUAUCAUGGGUUGAUGUGUUUAAUAUGAGUAUGAAAUUUAUAUUGAGGAUUUAAAAGUAUCCUAAACAGGAUUCUUCAAUUUACACUCAUUUGCAUCUGGUUUGCUUAAAUUGUUGGAGACGAUCCUAACUUUAAGCUUAGUGUGUUUACACACGCUUUGAAGAUAGUGCAACAAUCAUUAUGUCAUUUUUAUCAAUUUUUAUUCAAGUAUCCGCACCAAUCUUUCGACAUAAGAUCUAAUAUCUUUCACCUAAAACGGAUAAGCAUAGUAAUGUGCAUUUUUUAUGGAUCAAAUCCAGCUCGUCUAUCUUUAAGCGAAUAAUCAUAAUUUCUCUUACGGUCUUAUUUCAUUUGUGUUUCUUCAUGAACUCCUGCAUACAUAGGAUACGGUUCCCAAUAUAGAAAAUUCUUAUAUCGGAUACCAUCUAGAAACUGUAAAAAAUAAGAGGCCUAAAUCACUCAAAAAAGGUGGUGGCCAAAUUACUUAAAAAAGUGCAGGCCAAAAUCACAUAAUCACAAUAUUUUAGGAGGCAAAAGGGCAUUUAUGCCAAAAGAAUAUUGUUUGAUGAUAACACUUGUGAGGUUUGAAAAUUAGGUUACAUAGGGCGUGUGGGGUACAUUUUCACAUUUUUCCGUAAAAUCUUCAUUUACUUUUAUUCAAUGAAUUAUAUAUAAAAAAAUUAGUUUCCUUUGACUAUUAUCCCUUCUCGAAGACAGGCCAUGCGUCACCCAUAAUAUGAUAAUAUCUAAGAUGAGAAGAUUUAAAAAAGGUGAAAAGUUGUCAUAAUAAGGUUAUUCAGUCAUUUGCUUAAAAACCAUUUUGGAUUUCUAGCAGCCACAAUAUGCAUCGUAUGAUCUUGAUUAGUAGACCAUGAUGAAGGAUUUUAAUUUAAAAAAGGUGAAAAGUUGUCAUAAUAAGGUUAUUCAGUCAUUUGCUUAAAAACCAUUUUGGAUUUCUAGCAGCCACAAUAUGCAUCGUAUGAUCUUGAUUAGUAGACCAUGAUGAAGGAUUUUUUUUAAUCUAAUCAAGAUCGUCUAUUUUUUAUCAAGUAAUCAUAGUUAGUCUUACAUUCUUAAUGAAAUUGUAUGUUUGCAUGAACUCCUGCAUAUAGAGGAUACAAUCCCUAGUACUGAAAUUUAUUAUAUGGAAUUCUCUCUAGAAUCUUUGUCACUAUAUAAACUCUUGCUUUGUCAAUUCCUAAACAACUCUUUUUGUAAAAAAUAUCAUCAAUCUUUCUCUCUCAAUCUUCCCCCUCUCCCGUAUCUGGAUACUCCCCUGCCACUUAUCUAAUAUUUUUCAUCAAGCAUUGAUAUAUAUUGUUCAUCGACCAAUUAAUAUCUUUGAUUACAUAUGGUAGACAAUGAUGAGUGUCUGAGAUUGCAACAACAUUAUUCUACCUCUAGAGAGUAUCCAAACUCCUCUCUUUUCCUCCCUCAAGCCCUCUUCGAGUCUUGUCCAAGAUCAAAUAUCUACAAUGGCAAUAAGAAUGGUAAUUUAUACCCAUUUCAAUUACAAUGCCAAGUUUAAUUUUUUUUCUUGUUACAAUUCUUGAGUUUGUCUCUUAGGAUAUGAUGUGUGUGUGCUAGUUGGAAGAAUUUCUAGCAAUCACUAAAUUAUUUUAAGCAUGUGAAGUCCACUCGAAUACCUCCAAAAAUAAGUGUAACAAGUUCAUCCUUGAUUGCUAUGACAAUCCAUUAUAUUGAUCUUACAUAACUACCUUUCACAAAGAUCAUCGAGUAACUGCAGUGACUAUUGGUUAAUUUGAUAAGUAGAUCUCUAUAAUUUUGUAGAUCUAGAUCUAGUUAUCAAAUUAAAUAACACUCAUUAGGAUUACUCGAUGAUCUUUUCGAUGAGGUUUUAUGCAAGAUCCAAAUAAUUCAUUGGCAUAACAGUCAACUGUUCCACUUAUUUUUUGUGGGAUUUGAAUAGACUUCACAUGCUGUGAAAACUGUAGUGAUUGCUAGAAAUUUUUCCAACCAGGAACACACAUCAUGUCGUAAAAGACAAAUUCAACAAUUUUACUAAGACAAUUAUGAAGAAUUAAUCUUGGCAUUGUAAUCAAAAGGGGUAUUACUUACCAUUCCGUUAGAAGUAAAAAGGUGAAUGGGGGUCCUCGUGAGCAUUACUUAGUUUGUCUGCUUGUUCACCUUAGGAUUUUAAUUUUUUUAUUUGUAAUAUAUCCAUUUUCAAGUUUUGGUUCUCCAAUUUUGUUUUGCUUUAAAAUGGUCCUAUUGAUUGUUUUUUUCUUUUUCAUUUUAGUUGUUGUUUGGUUUCCUUUUUAUAAAAUAUAUUUAUUUAUAUAUUUUAGUCAUGUUUUAUAUAUUUUUGUCUUUUAUAUUCAUCCCCGCACAAAUUAUCCCAAAAUUUAAGAAAAUAUAAUUUAAAAAAUGGCUCGCAACAAUUCAAUAAAAAUAAAUCAUUCUUGUAAAACUCAUCUAUCCAAAAC
rnacentral:lncRNA from 1 species